AGGUGAACACAAUGCAACAUACAUUGUAUCCCCUGUAGACGAUGGCGUGACAUUCACUAAAAUCAGACAUGGACAUCCCGUUAUUAAUGCAAGGGCAAAUUAUACUAAGACCUUGCAUUUCCAUGACUAUCUGGGUACAAUACACAGUGUUUUAAUUAAGGAAGAUUUUAAGUCUCCAAGAGCACAUCAGAGUUUUGAUCCACACGAAAAGAUGAGGAAAGUGAAGUCAGAGAAUGAUUUCAGCAACAUAG